GACGUAGGGGGCCAGCGUUGUUCGGAAUUACUGGGUGUAAAGGGUUCGUAGGCGGUGUGGCAAGUCGGGAGUGAAAUCUCUGGGCUCAACUCAGAGACUGCUUCCGAAACUGCUGUGCUGGAGUGUGGGAGAGGCGCGUGGAAUUGCAGGUGUAGCGGUGAAAUGCGUAGAUAUCUGCAGGAACACCCGUGGCGAAAGCGGCGCGCUGGACCACUACUGACGCUGAGACGCGAAAGCGUGGGGAGCAAACGGG
rnacentral:rRNA from 1 species